GUGCUUUACUUUGAUUUUUUAUGUUGUCACAGAUGAAAUAAUAUAAUGUGGCAUUUGUUAUAAGUGAAGCUAUAUAAAUAUGUUCUCCUCGCUAUCCGGUGGUGCUUCUGUUAGCUCAUUUGGACGUUGGUGAACUACAUUU